CAGCCGCCGCGGUAACACGUAGGGCGCAAGCGUUAUCCGGAAUUAUUGGGCGUAAAGAGCUCGUAGGCGGUUUGUCGCGUCUGCCGUGAAAGUCCGGGGCUCAACCCCGGAUCUGCGGUGGGUACGGGCAGACUAGAGUGAUGUAGGGGAGACUGGAAUUCCUGGUGUAGCGGUGAAAUGCGCAGAUAUCAGGAGGAACACCGAUGGCGAAGGCAGGUCUCUGGGCAUUAACUGACGCUGAGGAGCGAAAGCAUGGGGAGCGAACAGGAUUAGAUACCCCCGUAGUCCCUGUCUCUUAUAA
rnacentral:rRNA from 1 species